rnacentral:sRNA from 1 species
GUGCCAAAUUUGGUUGAAAUUGGAUAAGCGGUUUUAGAGAAGAAGUUCAAAAUGUAAAAAGUUUACAGACGGACAGACGGACGGACAGACGGACGGACGGACGGACGACGGACAAAAUGUGAUCAGAAUAGCUCACUUGAGCUUUCAGCUCAGGUGAGCUAAAAAGUAGGAGAACGAACUAUAAUGAAAAAUAAUGCUAUCGAUGUAAACUACAAUAUUCGGUUUAAUGCAGAAAACCCUGAACAAGGAAUGAGGCUGACUGAUCUGCUUCGUGAAUUAGAAGAUAUGUUUGACAACAUUCUCAAUGAAACAGCUCGAGGACUUGACCCUUUUUUGGAUCUUGGACGAGUCAUCAUUCAUCACAUGGGAUUGUACAAUCCUGUGUAUGUACCACUAAGGCCCUUGAAAGAUCUUACUGGAAAAAGUGUGAUGGAGAACUUACAAAAUGUCUUAAACAGCCAUGAAAAUCUUUCUCUAGAUAAAAGUUUUUAUUUAAAUGUGGGGCUUAUUAAAGUUCCAAAGGGCGGUAUAGCAGGCAAAAAUAUUAACAAAGUUGGUGACGGCAAUGAUUCUCUCAGAAUCAAAAGAUCAUGUAUCAAAAUUCAAAACACAGAUGAAUUAUGCCUUGCUCGAAGCAUUUGCAUGGGGUUUUUCAAAUUACAUCAAAUUCCAACAUCUGAAUGGCAGAAAUUAGCACACCAAAGUGACAAAGGAACAAUAGAAGAAAAAGUAAUGGAAUUGCGGAAAUGUCCUAUUUGGUUCUACAAAGAAUUAAUGAAGCACAACAAAACAAAUAAUGAACGUCAAAAAAAAUUAGCCAUUUUGUUAUGCCAGAAAGCCAAUGUAAGCAGUGAGAGACGUCUGUCCAUUCAAGACAUUUAUGCUUUUGAGAACGUAUUGAAUGUUGAUAUUCUAGUUGUCAGUGCCACUAUUGGUAACAAAUUCAUACGAACUGUUCCAAAAGAUUCUUGGUGUGGAAAAUCUCAGCACAAACCCAACUUGGUAGUGGCUCAAACAGUGUGUGAGGAAUGCUUCGGUCAAGAACUCACGCCAAAUUGUAAAUGCGAUAACUGUGGAACUAGGUGCAAAAAAUAUUACUGCCGUAGUGAUGUGGACAUACUCAGACAAGCUUGUUUGAAAUUCAGAGAAAUUCUUAUGAAAAUCACAGGAAAAGAAGAAGUGGUAUUUGAGGAUGAAAUGCCAGAGAAAAAAUUAAUGGGAGGCGUGGAUCCUUUUCAAUGCACGACCAUUGCUGGGGUUUGCAUGGAAGUGUUUAAAAGCAAAUUUCUUCAAGAAGAAUGGCGUGUCAAAGUUAGAGGCAAUGAUGGAAUAAGUGAUUGGCUACAGGCCCGCCGACUGCAAGGGGACUUUUCCAUUUUAUUCAAGGAACAUUGGGUUACGGGUGAAGAGUUACAGACUCAAGAAUACGUAAUAGAAGAAUCUGAAUUUGUUAGUUCACCUAUUUCACAAAUCCCUUCCACGGGUUAUGCCCCUUUUCUCGGACAAUAUAGUUGCGUAUCGAUACAGUGGCUCUCAUGGAUACAAGAAGAUCAUUUCAAAAAGACAGGGCACCGCCUCUACAUACAGCAUGCCUUAAAUGAGGGUGAAUUUCGACUGCCGGGUACCAAUUACUUAUUAGAUGGAUACUGUCCUGAAACCAACACUGCAUACGAAUUUCACGGGUGUUACUGGCACGGAUGUCCCAUAUGUUUUCCUACUCAGCGUCAGCAACUUAAACAUAUAAGAACCAAACACUCCAUGAACGAGUUACUGACCAUGACCUUAAAAAAGAGAGACUACAUUCAGUCUCUGGGUAUGAAAUAUGUCUACAUUUGGGAGCAUGAUUUUGAAAACUUACUGAAGCAGAACCAAGACGCAUCUGAUUAUGUUCAUUCCCUAAACCUGCAAGAAAGAUGCUGGAUAGAAGAGUCUUAUAUUUCGAUACGGAUUCAGUCAUUUUCGUCAGCAGACCUGGAGAUCAGGAACCAAAAGUCGGGUCAUUUCUUGGUCAACUUACCAGUGAGUUACAACCCAAAGAAUACAUUACAGAAUUUGUUUCGGGAGGACCUAAAAAUUACGCCUACAGGACUUCAGAAGGAAAAGAAGUAUGCAAAAUCAAAGGAUUUACCCUAA